rnacentral:rRNA from 1 species
UACGUAGGGGGCAAGCGUUGUCCGGAUUUAUUGGGCGUAAAGAGCGUGUAGGCGGCUUUACAGGUCCGUUGUGAAAACUCGAGGCUCAACCUCGAGACGCCGGUGGAAACCGUAAAGCUAGAGUCCGGAAGAGGAGAGUGGAAUUCCUGGUGUAGCGGUGAAAUGCGCAGAUAUCAGGAAGAACACCCGUGGCGAAGGCGGCUCUCUGGGCCGAUACUGACGCUGAGGAGCGAAAGCGUGGGGAGCAAACAGG